rnacentral:lncRNA from 1 species
CACCAUCCUCGGCUGUCAUCAGAUUGGUUUUGAUAGCGGGCAGCUAAUGAGCUCUUCUGCAUGCUGAUUAGGCUUGCUUGUCAGUCAAUGCCUGCAUGACGGCUAUCUUGAGAAGGUGUCAUGGCUGGGAUCACAUCUUGUGUCUUUGAGUCCACAAAACCCCCACAAAACCCAUGAAAUGCAGAGCUGUGGCAAGAAAACAAAUAUCUUGGUGCCUGUGCAAUCUGCAAAGCCAUCAUUUGCAUGGUGGAAUGGGCACAGUGCCCCCCGGCAGCCCCUGCACAUUAGAGGAGGGUGCACAGGAGACUUCUGAGAUAGCUGCGUCAUUUUGGAGCUAAGAGCACAAGUUGCAGGACAUGGCUGCUGAAGCCUGGACUGCUGCAGGGUUUUGGGCACCUCAUUCACAUUAAAAUUAAUAAUUGCAAACUAUCCUGGAGGUCUGGACUGGAUCACAGAGGUGCUUCAGAAAGCCUGGGACCCUUCAUCUGCAGGUAUAUUUUCAGAGCUGAUACCCUUUUGGCUGGCAUUUCUUCUCUGUCCUGUUUGUUUGCCUCCAGCUUAGCACUCCCCUCCAGAGCAAGGUGUUUGUUAUCAUUUUGUAGUGCAAGUUAGUUUAGUGGACUAAUUUCUGUAUAAAACUAUUGAAAUGAAAUGCAAAAUGGGCUCAUUAAUUGCUAUUAAGAUCAAAAGUCCUGCUAGCGGGACUUGUACUAAUGGAUGAUCUCUUGUACUGUCCUUCAGGAGAUCCCUACUUAUGGCUUGAGAGCAUGCCCAUCAUGGAAAUGCCUCUGGAGCUGCUGCAGCCUCCUCCCACGGAUCCAUCACUGUGUCCCACCAGUAAUUCGACCUGGCUCUGAGGCUCCCCAGGGACGGACAACGGGUCACUGCAGACCUUCAGCCCCGUGCUGCUUCCUGCUGUGACCAUCCCUGUGCCACUCAGCUGUUGCUGUUGGAGCUGUCACAUCAGUGGGGACCAGUCCUGCUCCGUCUGGGAUGUCACAGGCCGUGCUCUGCACCCAGCGGCAGCAGGAACAGACAUGGACAGCCACCUGGAGCAGCAUCCAGCCUCCUGCAUGCACCAGGGUGGCCCUGAAGCCAUCUCUGCAGUUUUGGGGGUGACCUCCUCAGGUUUUCCUCUGUGUCGGCAGAGAAAUCAGCUUCAGCAGAGCCUUAGCAGUGCUCAUGGCCUCUGGAGUCAUGCAGGGAACUAAACCUGCAUAAGGUUUGUGCUGUGCCAGGAGCAGAAGCUUUGCCUGUUCCCUGCCCCCACCUGCAAGGAGCCAAAAACCUUCACAGCCCUGGUCCCUCCAGAGCGAUGUCAGAGCAGGAGCCUGCUCCAGAAAGCAGGGACCCGUGCCAGAUACACCAGGCAGAU